UACGGGGGGGGCAAGCGUUGUUCGGAAUUACUGGGCGUAAAGGGCUCGUAGGCGGCCAACUAAGUCGGAUGUGAAAUCCCCAGGCUUAACCUGGGAACUGCAUCCGAUACUGGAUGGCUUGAAUCCGGGAGAGGGAUGCAGAAUUCCAGGUGUAGCGGUGAAAUGCGUAGAUAUCGUUUGGAACGCCGAUGGUGAAAACAGCUUGCUGGGGGUGUGCUGACGCUGAGACACGAAAGCCAGGGGAGCAAACGGG
rnacentral:rRNA from 1 species